rnacentral:ribozyme from 1 species
GUUGUAUUCUUCUUCUUCUUUCGUUCCUUCUUUUCUUCUUUUUUCCUUUCUCUCUUU